AUACGGAGGAUCCGAGCGUUAUCCGGAUUUAUUGGGUUUAAAGGGUGCGCAGGCGGGAGAUUAAGUCGGCGGUGAAAUUUUGCAGCUCCACUGUAAAAGUGCCUUCGAAACUGGUUUCCUUGAGUGUAGAUGAAGUAGGCGGAAUUUGUGGUGUAGCGGUGAAAUGCAUAGAUAUCACGAGGAACUCCGAUUGCGCAGGCAGCUUACUAAACUACUACUGACGCUCAGGCACGAAGGCGUGGGGAUCAAACAGGAUUAGAUACCCUGGUAGUCCACGCAGUAAACGAUGAUUACUAGCUGUUUGCGAUACAAUGUAAGCGGCUGAGCGAAAGCGUUAAGUAAUCCACCUGGGGAGUACGUUCGCAAGAAUGAAACUCAAAGGAAUUGACGGGG
rnacentral:rRNA from 1 species